GUUGACCUCGGAUCAGGUAGGGAUACCCGCUGAACUUAAGCAUAUCAAUAAGCGGAGGAAAA
rnacentral:rRNA from 2 species